rnacentral:rRNA from 1 species
AGUGAACGCUGGCGGUAGGCCUAACACAUGCAAGUCGAACGGCAGCACAGUAAGAGCUUGCUCUUACGGGUGGCGAGUGGCGGACGGGUGAGGAAUACAUCGGAAUCUACUUUUUCGUGGGGGAUAACGUAGGGAAACUUACGCUAAUACCGCAUACGACCUACGGGUGAAAGCAGGGGAUCUUCGGACCUUGCGCGAUUGAAUGAGCCGAUGUCGGAUUAGCUAGUUGGCGGGGUAAAGGCCCACCAAGGCGACGAUCCGUAGCUGGUCUGAGGGGAUGAUCAGCCACACUGGAACUGAGACACGGUCCAGACUCCUACGGGAGGCAGCAGUGGGGAAUAUUGGACAAUGGGCGCAAGCCUGAUCCAGCCAUACCGCGGGGGUGAAGAAGGCCUUCGGGUUGUAAAGCCCUUUUGUUGGGAAAGAAAAGCAGCAGGUUAAUACCCCGCUGUUCUGACGGUACCCAAAGAAUAAGCACCGGCUAACUUCGU